rnacentral:lncRNA from 1 species
AGUCAAUAGUUUGAAAAUUCUAUGCUAGCUUUCUUUAUUUUUAACUAAUACUUUAAUCUAUAAUUUAACAGAACAUUAGUCAAACUAUUAACCUCAGAUGUGACCUAAAUGCCAUAUCAAAAAAAAUAAAAAAUAGAUAAAAUAACCUUAAGUGACAUAAUAAUUAUCCAAGAACAUAAAAAAAAAGUGUGCAUCCUCCUCUCCACCCAAGAGCAAUUUCAAUUUUUCAUAUGAAAUAAAUGGUUUCACUAAUACUGUUAAUUUAAUUGGAUGUAAAUAUAGGUUUUAAACUUAUUGGGUGUGAGUAUAAUAAACAUAGAUCUUAAGUGGAUUUUUAUAGUUUACUCUUAUAUUAAUCAAUGCAAGGCUUGAAGAGGUACUUUGGAUAUUUGUUUUGAUCCAACAAGCAACCAUAUUUGAGUCUCAGAACAAAAAAU